GGGGAAUAUUGGGCAAUGAGCGCAAGCCUGACCCAGCAACGCCGCGUGAAGGAAGAAGGCUUUCGGGUUGUAAACUUCUUUUAAGAGGGAAGAGCAGAAGACGGUACCUCUAGAAUAAGCCACGGCUAACUACGUGCCAGCAGCCGCGGUAAUACGUAGGUGGCAAGCGUUGUCCGGAUUUACUGGGUGUAAAGGGCGUGCAGCCGGGUCUGCAAGUCAGAUGUGAAAUCCAUGGGCUCAACCCAUGAACUGCAUUUGAAACUGUAGAUCUUGAGUGUCGGAGGGGCAAUCGGAAUUCCUAGUGUAGCGGUGGAAUGCGUAGAUAUCGGGAGGAACACCAGUGGCGAAGGCGGCCUACUGGGCACCAACUGACGCUGAGGCUCGAAAGUGUGGGUAGCAAACAGGAUUAGAUACCCUGGUAGUCCACACCGUAAACGAUGAUUACUAGGUGUUGGAGGAUUGACCCCUUCAGUGCCGCAGUUAACACAAUAAGUAAUCCACCUGGGGAGUACGACCGCAAGGUUGAAACUCAAAGGAAUUGACGGGGGCCCGCACAAGCAGUGGAGUAUGUGGUUUAAUUCGACGCAACGCGAAGAACCUUACCAAGUCUUGACAUCCUGCGACGAUGCUGGAAACAGUAUUUUCCUUCGGGACGCAGAGACAGGUGGUGCAUGGUUGUCGUCAGCUCGUGUCGUGAGAUGUUGGGUUAAGUCCCGCAACGAGCGCAACCCUUACUGUCAGUUACUACGCAAGAGGACUCUGGCAGGACUGCCGUUGACAAAACGGAGGAAGGUGGGGAUGACGUCAAAUCAUCAUGCCCUUUAUGACUUGGGCUACACACGUACUACAAUGGCGUUAAACAAAGAGAAGCAAGACCGCGAGGUGGAGCAAAACUCAGAAACAACGUCCCAGUUCGGACUGCAGGCUGCAACUCGCCUGCACGAAGUCGGAAUUGCUAGUAAUCGUGGAUCAGCAUGCCACGGUGAAUACGUUCCCG
rnacentral:rRNA from 1 species